rnacentral:rRNA from 1 species
UACGGAAGGCAGCAGUGGGGAAUAUUGCACAAUGGGCGAAAGCCUGAUGCAGCUAUGCCGCGUGUAUGAAGAAGGCCUUAGGGUUGUAAAGUACUUUCAUCGGGGAGGAAAAACAAAACUAAUAAUUUUAUUUCUUGACGUUACCCGAAAAAGAAGCACCGGCUAACUCCGUGCCAGCAGCCGCGGUAAUACGGAGGGUGCUAGCGUUAAUCAGAAUUACUGGGCGUAAAGAGCACGUAGGUGGUUUUUUUAAGUCAGAUGUGAAAUCCCUGGGCUUAACCUAGGAACUGCAUUUUGAAGCUGAAAUACUAGAGUAUCGUAGAGGGAGGUAGAAUUCUAGGUGUAGCGGUGAAAUGCGUAGAUAUCUGGAGGAAUACCUGUGGCGAAAGCGGCCUCCUAAACGAAUACUGACACUGAGGUGCGAAAGCGUGGGGAGCAAACAGGGAUUAGAUACC